GAUGAACGCUGGCGGCGUGCCUAAUACAUGCAAGUCGAGCGAACAGACGAGGAGCUUGCUCCUCUGACGUUAGCGGCGGACGGGUGAGUAACACGUGGAUAACCUACCUAUAAGACUGGGAUAACUUCGGGAAACCGGAGCUAAUACCGGAUAAUAUAUUGAACCGCAUGGUUCAAUAGUGAAAGACGGCUUUGCUGUCACUUAUAGAUGGAUCCGCGCCGCAUUAGCUAGUUGGUAAGGUAACGGCUUACCAAGGCAACGAUGCGUAGCCGACCUGAGAGGGUGAUCGGCCACACUGGAACUGAGACACGGUCCAGACUCCUACGGGAGGCAGCAGUAGGGAAUCUUCCGCAAUGGGCGAAAGCCUGACGGAGCAACGCCGCGUGAGUGAUGAAGGUCUUCGGAUCGUAAAACUCUGUUAUUAGGGAAGAACAAAUGUGUAAGUAACUAUGCACGUCUUGACGGUACCUAAUCAGAAAGCCACGGCCAACUACGUG
rnacentral:rRNA from 1 species